GCUUACGGCCAUACCACCCUGAGCGCGCCCGAUCUCGUCUGAUCUCGGAAGCUAAGCAGGGGUCGGGCCUGGUUAGUACUUGGAUGGGAGACCGCCUGGGAAUACCAAGUGCUGUAAGCU
rnacentral:rRNA from 1 species